ACGGUCGCGUAACACGUAAGCAACCUGCCCUGAAGUUGGGGAUAGCCCUCCGAAAGGAGGAUUAAUACCGAAUGUGAAUACAUCUUCGCAUGUUGAUGUAUUUAAAGCAGCAAUGCGCUUCAGGAUGGGCUUGCGGCCUAUCAGCUAGUUGGUGGGGUAAUGGCCUACCAAGGCGACGACGGGUAGCUGGUCUGAGAGGAUGGUCAGCCGGACUGGGACUGAGAUACGGCCCAGACUCCUACGGGGGGCAGCAAUUAGGAAUCUUGCGCAAUGGGCGAAAGCCUGACGCAGCGACGUCGCGUGACCGAUGAAGUCUUUCGGGAUGUAAAGGUCUUUUUUGGGGGAAGAAGGAUGUGACGGUACCCCAAGAAUAAGCCCCGGCUAACUACGUGCCAGCAGCCGCGGUAAUACGUAGGGGGCGAGCGUUGUCCGAAUUCACUGGGCGUAAAGCGCGCGUAGGCGGGUUAUUAAGUUGGAGGUGAAAUCCCGGGGCUCAACCCCGGAACUGCCCCCAAAACUGGUAGCCUUGAGGUAUGGAGAGGGAAGUGGAAUUCCAGGU
rnacentral:rRNA from 1 species